rnacentral:rRNA from 1 species
GCACAAGCGGUGGAGCAUGUGGUUAAUUCGACGCAACGCGAAGAACCUUACCAGGGCUUGACAUCCCCUGACCGCGUAUGAAAGUACGUUUUCACCCUCGGGUGACAGGGAGACAGGUGGUGCAUGGUUGUCGUCAGCUCGUGUCGUGAGAUGUUGGGUUAAGUCCCGCAACGAGCGCAACCCCUACGUUUAGUUGCUAACGCGUGAAGGCGAGCACUCUAGACGAACUGCCGUUGACAAAACGGAGGAAGGUGGGGAUGACGUCAAAUCAUCAUGCCCCUUAUGUUCUGGGCUACACACGUGCUACAAUGGCCGGUACAGACGGACGCAAAGCCGCGAGGUGGAGCAAAUCCUAAAAAGCCGGUCUCAGUUCGGAUUGCAGGCUGCAAUUCGCCUGCAUGAAGUCGGAAUCGCUAGUAAUCGCAGGUCAGCAUACUGCGGUGAAUAUGUUCCCGGGCCUU